ACAACAUUGUAGAAGUAAGACUGUAAUGGCUGGAUAAGUAUGAGUCGCAUACAAUGCAUAACACAGCUACAUUUUAGAGCUAUUUGCAACUAUUUCGCAAGUUUUGACCUCUUUUGAAAGACAGACUUGGAAGAUGUGUAAAUAAAAACGCACAUAGGACCUAACAAGGAUGUUCUUUAAGGCUAAACAUGGAGGACAAAUUGGACCCACUGGAUCGUUUUCAGUUAGGACACUUUACAAUAACAACCCAAAUUCCACCUGAAGAAAGUACCAGGAAAUACAUAUACAUCUACUCAGAUAGACAGAAAACAGCAAAAAGGGAAAUGAAUCUCUUAUAAUUAUAAAAAAAAGUUUCUGCUGUUCAUUGUGACUGUUAUAUAUGCUGUUCAGAUUUCAUUUAACUGUAAGCAUUGUAAGUCUAUAAUUUUCAGCAUACUUUACCUGCCUGUUGGUCUUUUAUGUAUUUAAAAUAUUUUAUUGAAUUUAAAGUAUAAUAAACCUGGGUUACAAAAGCCUUCAAUGUACAA